rnacentral:rRNA from 1 species
AGCAGCCGCGGUAAUUCCAGCUCCAAUAGCGUAUAUUAAAGUUGUUGCAGUUAAAAAGCUCGUAGUUGAAUUUCGGGAUCAGACUGUCGGUCGUGCCUCGGUACGCACUGGCAUUAUUGGUUCCUACCUUCUGAAGAACCGCGAUGUCAUUAAUUUGGUGUCGCGGGGAAUCAGGACUGUUACUUUGAAAAAUUAGAGUGUUUAAAGCAGGCGCACGCUUGAAUACAUUAGCAUGGAAUAAUGAAAUAGGACGUUUGAUUCUAUUUUGUUGGUUUCUAGGAUCGACGUAAUGAUUAAUAGGGAUAGUUGGGGGCAUUAGUAUUCAAUUGUCAGAGGUGAAAUUCUUGGAUUUAUUGAAGACUAACUACUGCGAAAGCAUUUGCCAAGGAUGUUUUCAUUAAUCAAGAACGAAAGUUAGGGGAUCGAAGACGAUCAGAUACCGUCGUAGUCUUAACCAUAAACUAUGCCGACUAGGGAUCGGAUGAUGUUAAUUUUAUAAUGACUCAUUCGGCG